GCAAACAGGGCAUCUAGGGCAAGGGGUGGGUGGGUUUUCCAGCCGCCGUGAGCAGCGUGGCCUGUGGGUUCUCUGGGCAGCACCCUCCCUUGUGUCUUAGGGCUUGGCUCACUCUAAGGCAGAGCCCAGCAGCCAUCCCGAAGGGCUGGGGUUGUGGUCUCCCGCAGGCGGUGCCACAAAACUCAUCCUCUCUUGGCAUCAGAAACUGUCCUCCUGUGGUUGGAGUGACUGAGACUGCAGAGCACCUGCCGUGCUACUGAGCUAGAAAGAUGGUGGCUUCCCUAUCUCCGCGCUGGUCGGAGGGAAUAGUUCACGCUAUGGAAAUUGAAAAUCAUAGGUGAAGCAAUCUCGCUGGGGCUGCAGAGGACGGCAGGGUGCUGAGCUAGAAAGAUUGUGGCUUCCUGGUUCCUGCCCUGGUCAGAUGGAAUAGGUUUCGCUAUGGAAAGUGAAUUUGUAGGUAAGCUAAAAAACAGACUAGUUCUGGGCUGAAAAGUCUGUUCUUUCCCAGAUCUGCCUCAGGGAAAACUUAAAAGCAGGAUGGCCCAAACCCUACGCUCUCUUUACAAAGAAGGAAAAAGGAAAGCCCUGGGAACUUGAUGAGCAGAGAUGGAGCCAUGUGGGGGAGCUGUACUCCCCUGGGCAAAGCAGAGCCUUGCCUAUUGAUACCUGCCAGGAAACAGCAAGGCCAUGCCAGGAGUGGGCCUGAAAUCAGCCACUGGGUUGGUUGCAAGUGUUUCUAUUCAGCGUGUUGUCUGUGCCCAUGCUGCCCAGGUCUGAUCUCUGCAGCUUACAAGUUAAGUGUGGCUGGCUUGGACUGUCACUGGGUGGGAGGUGUCCACGAGAAACCCCAGGAUGGCAUGAGCUCAGCUAGAACUCCAGAGUGAGUAUUGAGCAGUGCCUCAGAAUGAUGCAAUCCUGCAUGUGAAAUGUAACUGAGCCUUUGAUGGCUUAUAAUACAGUGACCGGUGCCUGUAUGGCAGCCCCUCGAGAGGACGUGUUCACCCCAAUUUGUUGGCCAGAUCCCAGCAUGGGGAAUUCUGGGAUGGCACAGUGUAACAAUGCCUGUAAUUUCAAUGGCGUUAUUCUUCCCGCUAGCUGUUUUAUUACUGAUGCAAAUUAGCUGCUGCAUAUCAGCGCUGCCGAUAGUCUCUGUAUACAAUUCACACCCGUGUUGGAAUCCUUGGGGAUCAAAUGAUGCUCCGCAAACGCUGGCGAUCAGUAGACGUAGGAAUCCCAAGACUGCCAACUUAGUUAUGCGUGCACUGACCUGUGGCAGUAUCCAUAUGAAUCAAUAGAUCCGCUUGUGAGAGCAUCUGUCUGGCUGAUGCCACGUGCCACAGCAUCUGUUUCUAUUGUUAAAUGGUUCUGUUUUCCUUGAAUAAGAGGAGCUAUUGUGUGCUUGGCAGGCCGUGUUCUUUCUCGCAAGCCUUCCAGCACGUCUGGGCCUGCCUUGUGACUGCUCGUUCAUGUCAAGCGUGCAAGAACAGACCUGAGGCCUUCCUCUGCUCCCCAUUUUGCAGCGAGGUUAUAGACGCUUCGACACUCCUAGGCUGGUGCAAAGGAAGGGGCGAUAUUCUUUAGAAAAUUGUCUUGUAAAUGCCAUAAAUCACAGAGCACAUUCGUGCUCCAACAGCACAGGCGUGGUUUUCUAAGCCCAAAGCAUAUUCACUGGCUAAUCACUAGGCUUACAUCUCACACUACUGUGGCUUCAUAAGCAGCUCUUGGGCCAGCAUCCUCAUUGGCAAGGUCGCUGCAUUGUGUUUGGGCACGUUGAGGUGGUUCGUGGCAGAGGAUGAAAGAGUUAAAAACGCGAGUGGGUAUCGGAAGUUUUUUAAAAAUCAGCACCAGAGAAUGGCCCUGAAUGUGGGUCAGUAGAGGAGGUUUUGGAACAAACUGAGAAAUUAAAGAGUAGCAGAUCACCAGAACCAGUCGACGUUCACGCACGAGUUCUGAAGAGACAGGACGUUGGGCUCCAGGGACCGUUGGUCUGACCUACUGUGGCUGUUCUUGUUUGGCACACUGAGCAAACUGAGCCAGCGGGCGACCUGCCGGUACCCCCUCCGGGCCGCUUUCCCUGCCCCUACCCCCAGGGGAAGGGAGGCAGCAAAGCAUAGAAUCAUAGACUACUAGGACUGGAAGGGACCUCGAGAGUCAUCGAGUCCAGUCCCCUGCCCUCAUGGCAGGACCAAAUACUGUCUAGACCAUCCCUGAUAGACAUUUAUCCAACCUGCUCUUAACUAUCUCCAGAGAUGGGGAUUCCACAACCUCCCUGGGCAAUUUAUUCCAGUGUUUGACCACCCUGCCAGUUAGGAACUUUUUCCUAAUGUCCAACCUAAACCUCCCUUGCUGCAGUUUAAGCCCAUUGCUUCUUGUUCUAUCCCCAGAGGCCAAGAUGAACAAGUUUUCUCCCUCCUCCUUAGGACACCCGAGGAGGUGUCGCUGUUUUGCCCACCACGAAAGACUUACCACUUCCUUCCAGGAGGGUUGAACCUGUACUGCAAAAGUGCCUCCGUGUUAUCUCGGUGGGGGGCGCUGAUUUACUGCUUGGUCCAUUGGCUUAGUUUUAAUGUCAAGGUUCAAUGGCUGGUUGAGAUCUGGAGAAAGCUCGUUGAGGUUUUGAACACACUUUCGGUGUCCUAAAACCGACAAGAUUCAGACGUAAAUAGCUGCUGACUGACAGCUGUACAUGGUCGCCUGCUUUGGUCGCUGAUAUUGUCCAGCAAGCACAAGAGAAACAGGACUUUUCAGAUUUUUGAACUUUCAAGAUGCGUGUGUGCAGUGAAAGAUCAGCUUAGCAGUAACCAAAUACCUGAGUAUCCUCUUAGAGAAUCUUGAAAAUUGUUUCAGCAAGGGAAAUGUCUAUAUGUACACCUUUGUGAGUAAUCCGUUCCGCAGUUCUGGUUCAGAGCCUUCGGCUUGCAGACAAACUCAUUAGAGUUAGUUUGCCUCUUUUUGGAUUUAAGGAAAGGAAUCUCAAACUUCAUGCUGGACCCUAUGCAAGAAUGCAAACAUGAAAGCAUAUUUCAAUCUGUAGAGCCCUGCACAGAUCCGGAAUUUGGAUCCACAAAAAUAAGCUGCAGAUGCAGAUUUGCAGGGCUCUAUCGGCCCGGUGUGACAGCAGAGAAAUUCUGGGGUCACAUGUACCGAUCGGAGGAUAGCAACAAGCCUCGAGCCAAAGUUGCUUUGCUUUUUGUUGUCCUGGUUUUUGACUACCGGAGGGCAAGAGGGCAUUCGGUGCACUGCAUUUUCUGAAGAUCAGUUGCCAAAACUACCUUAUGGACGAUGAUCUGGAAGCUUCCCUUCUAAUUUUACAGGAGACCCGUAAUAACAGCAGACUUUUUAUUAAGGAGCAUCCAUCCCACUUUUGCAGAUAACCAUUGUGUGGAUCAGAUUAAUAUUUCCGUUCUGGGCUUUAGCCCACCAUAAUGGUAUUGAACAAUAUAACUGACUGUGUUACUAUUCUUGCUAGAUUGGAUUGAUUUGUCCGUGAAAGAGAAAUUUUGGAAAGA